CGUUUAAAAUGGAAAAGGUUGAGGGAUAAAUUAUUUCUGUCAUGGGUUGAAAGCAUAGCAGAGGCGGCUAAGAAAGGUGGUAGCGGACAGCAAGAGCUCUGUUGGGAUAGCUAUGAGAAGAUAAAGCAAAAAUUACAUCUCCAAGAGCUUCAGCUGGCUGCUGAGAAGAAAAAGGAAAAGGCAAAGGAGAGGGCAAAGAAAAGAGCAAUGACAGCAGAACAGGUUAAAGAAAAAAAAUAUGGCAAGGAUUACUCGUGAGAGGAGAAAAGAUGGAGAAGUCUAUGAAGAUAUUGAAGAGUUGACAGAUCUUCAAGGGCGGAAUUGUAAGCAGAGAUUAAUGAAGUUUGAAAGAAAAACUUCAACAAAUGGACAAACUGCUGCUCGAGGGGACAUAGUCAUGUCGCGUAUCUCAGCUUUUGAGAAACUAGAUCUAGAGCUUAUAAAGAUAGAAAAAAUGCAGAAAGAAUUUUCUUUCGCAGACCAGAUCAGAGCUGCCAAAAACAAAAGAAUGGAAUUGACUAUGGAAGCCUCAUCCUCUGUUCAUGUAGCCAACAAGAAACCAGGGGAGUAUGCUUAAAUUUCCACAUCCCUAGCAGCAGUUGAAAUAGAGGAAGAGAAAAUAUCGGACUCUUGGACGCAUUUUUCCAACCAGUCGCAAGAGUCUGGUCAUUUGUUUUCAGGGCUUCAUUCAUGUUAUAUGGAAGAGGUCCAUCUGGUGACAGUGCAGCGUUUUUAUGUGAAAAAUUUGUUAGGUGAAUUUGUCAUGACCAGAAAUUAUAUCAUCCGCUUU